GCCGGGUGUGGUGGCGCAUGCCUGUAGUCCCAGCUACUCGGGGGGCUGAGGUAGGAGGAUGGCUUGAACCCAGGAGAUCAAGGCUGCAGUGAGCUAUGAUUGUACCACUGCACUCUAGCCUGGGCAACAUAGUGAGACUUUGUCUCAA
rnacentral:SRP_RNA from 1 species